UGGGGUGGGGAGAUGACUCAUGGCUGAGCUGGAGUAAUGCGAUAAGUGUCGCUUGGACAGAGUUUUUUAAAACGAUUUUUUCGGUGCUUUAGUCCUUAGAAGAUGGGAACCGAAUCUCUUGGCUUUCAAUCUUUAAUUUGUUGAUUUAGAUUGAUGGUGAGAUAUGGUCCACUGUAAAUAGAUUAGUUCAAUUUUAGCAAUAUUCUUUAGAUUAGAUAAAUAUCUUACUAUGAAGAUUGCUGGUUAUAAUUGUUUAAUUUAAGAUUUGCUUAGGGAUGGCAAUAGAUUGGGUAUGAGUUACUUGCCCCAUAUUUACCUUGAGGUGGGGUGGGUAGAAUCUCAAGAC
rnacentral:lncRNA from 1 species